rnacentral:rRNA from 1 species
UUUACUAGCAUGGCAAACGGGAGAGUAACACAUUGGCAAUCUGCCCCUAAGACGAGGAUAACCUUGCGAAAGCGAGAAUAAUACUCGAUAGUAUUAAAGAGCAUAAGCUCUUUAAUUAAAGCUCCGGCGCUUAGGGAGGAGCCUAUGGCCUAUCAGCUAGUUGGUGAGAUAAUAGCUCACCAAGGCUACGACGGGUAUGGGGUGCGAGAGCAUGACCCCACUCACUGGGACUGAGACACUGCCCAGACUCC